UUGAAAGGGAAACGAUUGAAGUCAGUCGUACCUGCGGGUAAUCAGCCUUUUGGGUGUGAUUAUGUGGAGCGUGAGGAGCUAAUCGCCUUCAUCUUUGCAUAUUCGUGCACUUUGGGUGUACUUGCUCGUGUAGGUUAACAUCAAUUUUGAUCAUCAUAAAAUGAUUGAAGGAAUGUAGCUUCGAUCUCGUAUUGAAGUGUUAUAGCCUUUGGUAGAUGUGAUGAUCGGGAUUGAGGAUUGCAACGGAUACCCUUCGGGGCUACCCGUCUGAUCUCUGAAAGUUGCUCUGGUGCUGAAAGCUUGCUUAUGGUAUCAAAGUUGACGUUCAAUAGGUUAGAACGGGAUAAAUUCGUUAAGGAUGUUGACGUA
rnacentral:rRNA from 1 species